CCCUUAGAUGUUCUGGGCUGCACGCGCGCUACACUGAAGCGUUCAACGAGUAUUCACCUUGCCCGGGAGGGUUGGGUAAUCUUUUGAAAACGCUUCGUGAUGGGGAUAGAUUAUUGCAAUUAUUAAUCUUCAACGAGGAAUUCCUAGUAAGCGCGAGUCAUCAGCUCGUGCUGAUUACGUCCCUGCCCUUUGUACACACCGCCCGUCGCUCCUACCGAUUUAGUGAUCCGGUGAAUAAUUCGGACUGCAGCACUGCUUGGUCUCCAGGCUUUGCAGCGGAAAGUUUAGUGAACCUUAUCACUUAGAGGAAGGAGAAGUCGUAACA
rnacentral:rRNA from 1 species